rnacentral:rRNA from 1 species
AACCCAGUGUGAUUCGUCACACUAUCAUUAACUGAAUCCAUAGGUUAAUGAGGCGAACCGGGGGAACUGAAACAUCUAAGUACCCCGAGGAAAAGAAAUCAACCGAGAUUCCCCCAGUAGCGGCGAGCGAACGGGGAGGAGCCCAGAGCCUGAAUCAGCAUGUGUGUUAGUGGAAGCGUCUGGAAAGGCGCGCGAUACAGGGUGACAGCCCCGUACACAAAAGCGCAUGUGCUGUGAGCUCGAUGAGUAGGGCGGGACACGUGGUAUCCUGUCUGAAUAUGGGGGGACCAUCCUCCAAGGCUAAAUACUCCUGACUGACCGAUAGUGAACCAGUACCGUGAGGGAAAGGCGAAAAGAACCCCGGCGAGGGGAGUGAAAAAGAACCUGAAACCGUGUACGUACAAGCAGUGGGAGCACCCUUUGGGUGUGACUGCGUACCUUUUGUAUAAUGGGUCAGCGACUUAUAUUCUGUAGCAAGGUUAACCGAAUAGGGGAGCCGGAGGGAAACCGAGUCUUAACCGGGCGUUAAGUUGCAGGGUAUAGACCCGAAACCCGGUGAUCUAGCCAUGGGCAGGUUGAAGGUUGGGUAACACUAACUGGAGGACCGAACCGACUAAUGUUGAAAAAUUAGCGGAUGACCUGUGGCUGGGGGUGAAAGGCCAAUCAAACCGGGAGAUAGCUGGUUCUCCCCGAAAGCUAUUUAGGUAGCGCCUCGUGAAUUCAUCUCCGGGGGUAGAGCACUGUUUCGGCUAGGGGGCCAUCCCGGCUUACCAACCCGAUGCAAACUGCGAAUACCGGAGAAUGUUAUCACGGGAGACACACGGCGGGUGCUAACGUCCGUCGUGAAGAGGGAAACAACCCAGACCGCCAGCUAAGGUCCCAAAGUCAUGGUUAAGUGGGAAACGAUGUGGGAAGGCCCAGACAGCCAGGAUGUUGGCUUAGAAGCAGCCAUCAUUUAAAGAAAGCGUAAUAGCUCACUGGUCGAGUCGGCCUGCGCGGAAGAUGUAACGGGGCUAAACCAUG